rnacentral:rRNA from 1 species
UACGUAGGGAGCAAGCGUUGUUCGGAAUUACUGGGCGUAAAGCGUGCGCAGGCGGUUUUGUAAGUCUGUCGUGAAAUCCCCGGGCUCAACCUGGGAAUGGCGAUGGAGACUGCAAGGCUAGAAUCUGGCAGAGGGGGGUAGAAUUCCACGUGUAGCAGUGAAAUGCGUAGAGAUGUGGAGGAACACCGAUGGCGAAGGCAGCCUCCUGGGCCGACACUGACGCUCAUGCACGAAAGCGUGGGGAGCAAACAGG